AUCUUUCGGUUCUGGAUGCUUAUUGGAUGAAGUGAUUGCUCUGUCCAAUCAGAAGCGAGAAGGUGUGUGCUUCGCAAGCCUCAGGUCUCACAUACAGGCAGAACAGAGACGAGUGAAUUAGUCGGAAGCGAUCAACGGUGACCAGCUUUGCUUCAAACUAAAAGAAGUUGAUGCUGAAUCUACUUGCUUUGUUUGUGGAAACACGGCACAUUGGACCAGAGGAAUCCAGUCUCUUUGGACCCUGUUGGUGAACUUUGAAGUACUUCAAAGAGAUUCUGGCUGCUAUCCAGAAGAGGGGUUGUCCUCCCGCGCCGACUCCAGUUCUUGCCUCGUGCGCCCAGCUCUGCUGACCUGCUAACCACACGAGGGGCCUCUGUAACAUCUACUGCUCUCCAUCCACUAAGUUGAAGGAUUCGUGAGUACCUGCACGUGCUUUAUUUGAUUUGCUUGCUCUGCAAGUGAAAGGGCCAUUUUUUUUUUAGGCCACAACGAUCACAAGCAACGAUUCAGGCCUGCAACAAAAUUAAUGCGAUCAGGAAAAAAAAAAUAGAAUUUGGAUAUACCAAUGUAAUUAAAUUGUGAAAUUUAGCUGAAUCAUAUUUUAUUACUUAUGCUAAAGUUUUAUUUAUCUUAAUCAACACUGUACUAUUUUAUUUUGCAAAAAUUCAGUUGUCCACAAAACGAAUUACUCUUAGUAGGAAUUUUCAAUUAAAUUAACCCUUUUGUUUUCCUGCUAAGUGGAGACACCGCCAACAUUAUUAACCUAAAAUAAGUCUAAAAUCAUUAAUAAUUUGGAACUUCAACAGUAACUUGUAUCCCCAUAUUAAAGUUUAAAUAGAAAUACCCAGGACCCCACCCAUAGUAUUGUCACCAAUAAAUGAAGAAUAAUAAAUAACUACAUGCGAUGGGUGUUACACACAGCUAGGUUUUUUUUUUUUUUUUUUUAAAACAAACAUUUGUGAAAGAAUGUUCCGUUUUCAGUUAAUUCUGGCGUGGAACUGUCAUAUGAUGUCACCUGUGCAACAAAUCCAGUCGUAAAGUCCUGAAUGCUUCAAGAUACCAACACAUUUCGGACAAUUCCCUGUUCUUGAGGGAACAGUUUGGAGUGGCCUCUUCCCUUUCCAACAUGAGAUCAAAGCAAGGCUCAUAAAGACAUGGAGGACAGAGUCUUCUGGUGUGGAUGAACUAGACUGACCUGAACCCCAUAGAUCACCUUUGGGAUGAAUUAGAGUUGAGACUGAGAGCCAGAUCUUCUCCACCAACCUGACCAAAGCGUUUUUGGAAAAAUGGUCCAGAACAAACACACUCCUUGUGGUUUCCAGAAGAGUUGAAGUUGGAAUGGCUGCAAAAGGUGGCCCCACAUCAAACUGAACUCUAUUGGUUAAGAAUGGGUUGAUACUCCAGUUUAUGAGUCAAGGCAGGUGAGUGAAUACUUUUGGUAAUUUUUUUUUUUUAUUAUAAAAAAGUCAUAUAAUACAGUAAAGAUAUGCGCAUGUGUUUUUAAAUUAUUUUAAAACAUGGCAGUUCAGGAGAGUUUUAUAAAGCUGUUGUGGUACGAGCAUGAUGUGGUUGCUUUUGAAGAUAACGCAUCGACUAUAGUCUUUUCAAGUGUUUGUGGUUCAAAAUAAGAUCUAUUUUUUAACUUGCUCCACUACAGUUUGGCUGGAAACUCCCAUCAAAUGAAGCAACAAUGCACUAUUUCCUAAUUCUAUCCAUCUCCGUCUUUUCUAAAGAAAACCUCAACAUCUUCAUUUCCCGUCUAUUUCUCGAUCUCUAAACCAGAUGUGGGCAAACUACGUCCAGCUCGUUAAACUAUUUCAUCAAAACUAGAAUCCUAAUUAUUGCUUUAUUUUCUCUGUAUUUCAAAUGUCUCCCCAUAGAUGGUCCAAUAUAGAAACACUGACCACCGUCUAGAAAGUUUUUUUUUCUUAAAGAUUUGUGGUUACUAUUAAGUCAGGCAUUUUUCCAAUCAUUCUAACAGCACAUGAACGCACCAUUUCUAUAAGUUUGUGUUUUUUUUCUAAAGGACAUCAUCCCAUUGGUGCAGUUGGCACCAAAAUGUGACAAAAGUCACAGUUUUGAAAUAAAGUGUUAAAAUAAUUUAUA